AUUGAACGCUGGCGGCAGGCCUAACACAUGCAAGUCGAACGAGUGGCGGACGGGUGAGUAAUGUCUGGGAAACUGCCUGAUGGAGGGGGAUAACUACUGGAACCGGUAGCUAAUACCGCAUACCAUCAGAUGUGCCCAGAGGGGCUUAGCUAGUUGGUGGGGUAACGGGUCACGCAGGCGACGAUCCCUAUCUGGUCGGAGAGGAUGCACAGCCACACUGGAACUGAGACACGGUCGAGACUCCCACGGGAGGCAGCAGUGGGGAAUAUUGCACAAAGGGGGAAAGCCUGAUGCAGCUAUGCCGCGUGUAUGAAGAAGGCGUUCGGGUUGUAAAGUACUUUCAGCGGGGAGGCGUUACCCGCAGAAGAAGCACCGGCUAAAUCCGUGCCAGCAGCCGCGGUAAUUC
rnacentral:rRNA from 1 species